UCUGCGCUCGGUGGAGAGGCCGGAGGACGCGACCUUCCUCCCGGCCUUUCUGUGGAAGUCCGCAGCCGCGGAACGCACCGCGGCCCUUCGAUAAGCCGGCCCGUGCGGAGAAAGCGGUCGGCUUCCUGCGAUUGUCCGGGCCGCGGCGCGGAGAGGAAGGGCCUGGCCGGGCCGGGCUGGGCGGCCGCGAAGGGCGGCGGCCCGGGCUAUUCUGGGCCGUUAUUUUGAUCCCGCGGGCCGCUGGCUCAGGUUUCCGAGCCCAGCCUCAGGGCCGCAGAGGGGACGACGAGGCGGACUCCGGGCUGACAGGGAGGGCCCGGGGCUGCCCCGGCCCGGCGCCCCCUCGGCCGCCCUCCUGGGAGGCCUCGCCGUGGACGGAAAGGGUUAGGGCAGCUCCGGGGAGCAGAGGGGGCUCAGGAGAGGGGGCCGAGGGCGGCGGCCCGGGACCCUGCGGCCCCCGCCUCUCCUGUUUUAAGUUCAGAUUCGGGUGAUUGGUGCUCCUAGCAGGGUUGUGUGACCCCGUGAAUGACCACAGGGGUUCCCGAGCCCAGGGAGCGGCGGCACUGGUGCGCCCUGUAGCCGCGGGUCUGUCUCCACUCUCCCUGUGCGUGUCUCUGCCCCCCACUUCCCCCUUUGUUGGGUGAGGAGCCCACCCCAACGGCACUCAGUACUUUCGCAGCAACCCUGCAUCUGGCCACAUGUGGAGGCCCUGGGGGUUAGGGCUGCAGCAUGGGAACUGGGUUGGGGGCUGCCUGCAGCUCAGUGCCGGGCAGAUAUGUCCAUAUGGGUUGAGGGGACUCAGCACAGACAGGCAGGAGCAGGGUGUCCCAUCCCACCCCGGGGAGAUGUCUACUCUGGGUAUAUUGGAGCAGCCCCUGAAAAAUACGGCUUUCAGAACAAGACACACGAUGCGCUCCGAGGAGCCCCCUUUCCAUCCACUUUGUCCGUGUCCCCGUUGUGUGUUCCCUCGUAGCUGAGUUCACACCACUAUGCACUGCAGGCCUGUUGUUGAACUGGCCACGAGUCCUGGGAGUCUCCUGCACUGUCCCUUGUUGAUGACACUGACUUCCUUUGGGCCAGUUGUUCGAGCUACAGCCCACCUCCGGCCGGGAUUGCUCAGCCCGUUCCUGGGCCCCUGUGUUGCCUGUGAACUGGACUCAGCAUUGACCCUCAGGUGGACUUAAACCCUCUCUGUCGGAAAACACUUCUACCUCCUGCCUCUGGAAGACAGCAGGACAUCUGGUCCACACACAGCAGGCCCUGGGGAAGAGUGUGUAAGGUGCAGAGGGACAGGAAGCACCCCCGCGAGGAAGAGGCAAAGCCAGCUUUCCCUCUCCUGCUCUGAGCUCCGCUCUCCCGGAUUCUGGUAGGAACUGUCCUUAGCCGGGUGUUGGGGACCGCGCGUGUGGUGCCCUCUGAGUGGUGCAUCAAUGGGUGGGCGGGGUUGGAGGUAGGGAGAAGGCAGAAAAGACCCCUUGAACCAAGGGCUCACCGAUGGGGCUGGCUGGGGACGGAUCCUUGUCCACUCUAGAGCUUCCUUUCAGUUCCCAGGAGAGCAGCACCUGUCGCGGCUCAGCUCAGGCCCCUGGAGCCAGCUCAGGUGGCUUACAAGGACACAACCCAGGAGCACCAGGGAACUGAAGUAGGCAGGCAUUCAGGUUAAAAUCGACUGGGUCUGUGAGCUGGAAGACCACGACUUUGCCACACCCCUGUGUGACCUCACACCCUACCUGAUACCUUCACCACGCCCCUGUGUGACUGCAUGACCCUACCUGGCCACACCUGAGUGCCCACCCCCCAAUCAGGUUAAUUAACUACUCCCCUUUGGAAGUGGGUUAAAAGCCUGGGACACGGUGUGUCCCAGCCCUUCUCUCUUCUCUGGGCUUCUUGCCAGGAGGGGGCUUGCUGCUGCCCUGCACCUCCAGGGUGCGUGGCCUUCAGGCCAUGUGCUCCAGGCUUCCUGGCCUAGAUGCUCCUCCAUGUGGCUUGUUCCUGGUGCUCAGUAUGAACCCAGAUUUACCUCUGUCUCAAACAAAGCUCUCAUUCUCCCAUGCAUCUUUCGCACCAAAUAAAUGCCUAAAAUG